rnacentral:rRNA from 1 species
GAUGAACGCUAGCGGCAGGCUUAACACAUGCAAGUCGAGGGGUAACAGGAGUGCUUGCACUUGCUGACGACCGGCGUACGGGUGCGUAACGCGUAUAGAACCUACCUAUUACUGGAGAAUAGCCCAGAGAAAUUUGGAUUAAUGCUCCAUGGUAUGUUGAGAUCGCAUGGUUUUAACAUUAAAGAUUUAUUGGUAGUAGAUGGCUAUGCGUUCUAUUAGUUAGUUGGAGAGGUAACGGCUCCCCAAGACAUCGAUAGAUAGGGGUCCUGAGAGGGAGAUCCCCCACACUGGUACUGAGACACGGACCAG